UACGUAGGGUCCGAGCGUUGUCCGGAAUUAUUGGGCGUAAAGAGCUCGUAGGCGGUUUGUCGCGUCUGCUGUGAAAACUGGAGGCUCAACCUCGGGCCUGCAGUGGGUACGGGCAGACUAGAGUGCAGUAGGGGAGACUGGAAUUCCUGGUGUAGCGGUGAAAUGCGCAGAUAUCAGGAGGAACACCGAUGGCGAAGGCAGGUCUCUGGGCCGAUACUGACGCUGAGGAGCGAAAGCGUGGGGAGCGAACAGG
rnacentral:rRNA from 1 species